rnacentral:lncRNA from 1 species
GAGCAAGCUGCCGUUAGUUGCCGGUCUGAGGCGGGAACCGCGGCCCCGCAUGUGUUCGCGGCUCGGGUCAGCCUUCCACGAGCUCCUGAAGUUCUGUCGUUCCUCAUGGCCUCCAGUUCAGGAAGCUUCUAGAACAUGUGGCACCUCUACAAUGGAAACAAGAUCCGCAUCAUCAGCUUCAGAUGUGUUCUUGGAACCCUGAGUUCGCCUCGGCAGCUGUCCGAAAGUUAAUCCUGUGAAGGGACCUGAAGCAGACCCUCUGCGGAAGUCCCAAGCACCCACGAAGAACAUCGCAGUGUAUUCAUUCCCCUUCCGGUGGCCUCGGGAUCCAAGCAGGAAAGAAGAGGGAAGAACUCUGAAGGACACGAGCGACCCAGCUUACAGUCCAGGGUUCCCAGACUGCCCUUUGAGAAUAAAAUCGGAGGCCAGAACCAAAGUCUUUUGAAUAAAACACACUAACCCGUUUGGCUGCACUCCUUCCCAAGGCACGGAUCAUCCCAGCAUGGGAAGACCUCCCUCCCUUUUGACCCAUUUUCACUCUUCCACCACAUGCUCAAUAAAAUAAAAUAAAAUAAAUGAAAAAAAAAAA